rnacentral:rRNA from 1 species
UAUACAGCGAAACUGCGAAUGGCUCAUUAUAUAAGUUAUCGUUUAUUUGAUAGUACCUUACUACUUGGAUAACCGUGGUAAUUCUAGAGCUAAUACAUGCUGAAAAUCCCGACUUCGGAAGGGAUGUAUUUAUUAGAUUAAAAACCAAUGCCCUCUGGGCUCUCUGGUGAUUCAUAAUAACUUCUCGAAUCGCAUGGCCUUGCGCCGGCGAUGGUUCAUUCAAAUUUCUUCCCUAUCAACUUUCGAUGUUUGGGUAGUGGCCAAACAUGGUUGCAACGGGUAACGGAGGGUUAGGGCUCGACCCCGGAGAAGGAGCCUGAGAAACGGCUACUACAUCCAAGGAAGGCAGCAGGCGCGCAAAUUACCCAAUCCCGAUUCGGGGAGGUAGUGACAAUAAAUACUGAUACAGGGCUCUUUUGGGUCUUGUAAUUGGAAUGAGUACAAUUUAAAUCCCUUAACGAGGAACAAUUGGAGGGCAAGUCUGGUGCCAGCAGCCGCGGUAAUUCCAGCUCCAAUAGCGUAUAUUAAAGUUGUUGUGGUUAAAAAGCUCGUAGUUGAACCUUGGGCCUGGCUGGCCGGUCCGCCUCACCGCGUGUACUGGUCCGGCCGGGUCUUUCCCUCUGUGGAACCCCAUGCCCUUCACUGGGUGUGGCGGGGAAACAGGACUUUUACUUUGAAAAAAUUAGAGUGCUCCAGGCAGGCCUAUGCUCGAAUACAUUAGCAUGGAAUAAUGAAAUAGGACGUGCGGUUCUAUUUUGUUGGUUUCUAGGACCGCCGUAAUGAUUAAUAGGGACAGUCGGGGGCAUCAGUAUUCAAUUGUCAGAGGUGAAAUUCUUGGAUUUAUUGAAGACUAACUACUGCGAAAGCAUUUGCCAAGGAUGUUUUCAUUAAUCAGGAACGAAAGUUAGGGGAUCGAAGACGAUCAGAUACCGUCGUAGUCUUAACCAUAAACUAUGCCGACUAGGGAUCGGACGAUGUUAUUUUUUGACUCGUUCGGCACCUUACGAGAAAUCAAAGUGCUU